AGUGAACGCUGGCGGUAGGCCUAACACAUGCAAGUCGAACGGCAGCACAGUAAGAGCUUGCUCUUACGGGUGGCGAGUGGCGGACGGGUGAGGAAUACAUCGGAAUCUACUUUUUCGUGGGGGAUAACGUAGGGAAACUUACGCUACUACCGCAUACGACCUACGGGUGAAAGCAGGGGAUAUUCGGACCUUGCGCGAUUGUAUGAGCCGAUGUCGGAUUAGCUAGUUGGUGGGGUAAAGGCCCACCAAGGCGACGAUACGUAGCUGACCUGAGAGGGUGAUAGGCAACAAUGGAAAUGAGACACGGUCCAGCCUCCUACGGGAGGCAGCAGUAGGGAAGUUUUCGGAAUGGGCGAAAGCUUGACGGAGCAAUGCAGAGUGAGUGAUGAAGGUCUUCGGAUCGUAAAACUCCGUUAUGAGGGAAGAACAAAUGUGUAAGUAACUAUGCACGUCUUGACGGUACCUAAUCAGAAAGCAACGGCUAACUACGUG
rnacentral:rRNA from 1 species